CAUAUCAAACAGUCUGCUAUGUAUUGUGCAAUUACGUAAAAAAUGAGAAAAACCAAAGGAAAAAAAAUCUAGUACAUAAUUCUAUCCACAAAAAUAACUUGCUAUUUACAAACCAAUAAUGGUAAAAAAUAUGUUCCAAAAAUGUAAAAUUUUGGUGUGUACAAUCCUUGACUAACAGAUUCUUACUCCUGACCAACCUGAAAAAAUGUCACACACAAAAAUACUAGUCACUAACUUUGUUAAAUAAAACACAAAGACAUUAAUGAUAUUACAAACUGAAAGGAAGGAUGGCAUACCACUAUUGUUUAACCCAACGUCCACCCGUAUAUUAGAAGAAAUGUAGGACAACGGUUAUAAGGUUAAAAAAAAUUAGAUUGGUCCAGCCUCAAGGUAAGAAAUUCAUUAGUUUAGUCAAAUUUGAAUUUCUUUUAUAAUGGACAACAUUUGGGCACCAAUCAAUUAGAAAGCAAAGAUGAGUUCAAAAUAAAGAGGACAUAAUUUGCAUACAAACAGAACAAAUAGAACACACACACACACAAAAAGAUUGGUUUAGCCUUAUUGAGUUCUAAACAAUUGUAAAGUAAAGAUGGGUGCAAAAAGAGAGGAUAGGAAGUUCAUAUACAAUUGUUUGCAUACAAAACAAUUGGAAAGCAAACAUGAGUGCAAAAAAAAAAAAAAAACAUACCAAGGAAUGAUCAUCAAACAAAG
rnacentral:lncRNA from 1 species